CCUCCGGGUGCACUCGCUCCCCCUCCUAAGGAGUUUGGCAAGGUGAACCUCCACGUUGUUACCCAGGGUUCCCUCAAUACCCUAGUUGCUAAACCAGAUCUCGUGGACAGCAUCAAAAGGCUACAGAAGUAUGACUCUGAAGCCCACAAGAUUAAGCGCUACCUCGCAGAAGGAAAGCCCUCAUUCUUCACUAUUGCUGAAGAUGGCACUUUAUACUUCAAGGGCCGCCUAGUGGUGCCAUGUGCAGAGAAAAACCUGGAUAUGACACAGGAAGUUAUGAAAGAAGCUCAUGAUACGCCUCUAUGUAUCCAUCCUGGUAGUACAAAGAUGUACCAA
rnacentral:rRNA from 1 species